rnacentral:rRNA from 1 species
GAUGAGAAGUCUGACGGAGCACGCCGCGUGAGUGAUGAAGGUUUUCGGAUCGUAAAACUCUGUUGUUAGGGAAGAACAAGUACCGUUCGAACAGGGCGGUGCCUUGACGGUACCUAACCAGAAAGCCACGGCUAACUACGUGCCAGCAGCCGCGGUAAUACGUAGGUGGCAAGCGUUGUCCGGAAUUAUUGGGCGUAAAGCGCGCGCAGGCGGUUUCUUAAGUCUGAUGUGAAAGCCCCCGGCUCAACCGGGGAGGGUCAUUGGAAACUGGGGAACUUGAGUGCAGAAGAGGAGAGUGGAAUUCCACGUGUAGCGGUGAAAUGCGUAGAGAUGUGGAGGAACACCAGUGGCGAAGGCGACUCUCUGGUCUGUAACUGACGCUGAGGCGCGAAAGCGUGGGGAGCGAACAGGAUUAGAUACCCUGGUAGUCCACGCCGUAAACGAUGAGUGCUAAGUGUUAGAGGGUUUCCGCCCUUUAGUGCUGCAGCAAACGCAUUAAGCACUCCGCCUGGGGAGUACGGUCGCAAGACUGAAACUCAAAGGAAUUGACGGA